rnacentral:rRNA from 1 species
GGUCGGAUCCUGGCUCAGAUUGAACGCUGGCGGGAUGCUUUACACAUGCAAGUCGAACGGCAGCACGGACUUCGGUCUGGUGGCGAGGCAACGGGUGAGUAAUGUAUCGGAACGUGCUCAGUAGCGGGGGAUAACUACGCGAAAGCGUAGCUAAUACCGCAUACGCCCUUCGGGGGAAAGCGGGGGACCUUCGGGCCUCGCACUAUUAGAGCGGCCGAUAUCGGAUUAGCUAGUUGCGGGUAACGGCUCACCAAGGCGACGAUCCGUAGCUGGUUUGAGGACGACCAGCCACACUGACUGAGACACGGCCCAGACCUCACGGUGCGGGCAGUAGAAUGACAAUGGAAACCCUGGUUCAGCCAACUGCGUAAAGCGAUAGUGCCUUCAGAAUAAAAAAGCACUUGGCAGGAAGAAACGGCACCGUUACACCCGUGCAAUCUGACGGUACCUGCAGCAGAAUAAGCAUCAGCCAACUACGCCAGCAGCCGCGUGUGUUACGGUGGGGUGCAGACGUUACCGAAUGCACAGCAAAGCGCGCAGGCGGUUCGGAAAGAAGAUGCGAAAUCCCAGAGCUUAACUUUGGAAUCGCAUUUUUAACUACCGAGCUAGGAGGUGUCAGAGGGAGGUGAAUUCUGCGCGUAGCAGGAAUGCGUAGAUAUGCGGAGGAACACCGAUGGCGAAGGCAGCCUCCUGGGAUAACACUGACGCUCAUGCACGAAAGCGUGGGGAGCAAACAGGAUUAGAUACCCUGGUAGUCCACGCCCUAAACGAUGUCAACUAGCUGUUGGGGCCUUCGGGCCUUGGUAGCGCAGCUUAACGCGUGAAGUUGACCGCCUGGGGAGUACGGUCGCAAGAUUAAAACUCAAAGGAAUUGACGGGGAUCUGCACAAGCGGUGGAUGAUGUGGGAUUACCUGAUGCAACGCGAAAACCUUACCUACCUUUGACAUGUCUGGAAUCCCGAAGAGAUUUGGGAGUGCUCGCAAGAGAACCGAACACAGGUGCUGCAUGGCUGUCGUCAGCUCGUGUCGUGAGAUGUUGGGUUAAGUCCCGCAACGAGCGCAACCCUUGUCAUUAGUUGCUGCUUUGAAAGACUCUAAUGAGACUGCCGGUGACAAACGAGGAAGGUGGGGAUGACGUCAAGUCCUCAUGGCCCUAUGGGUAGGGCUUCACACGUCAUACAAUGGUUUGGACAGAGGGUCGCCAACCCGCGAGGGGAGCCAAAUCCCAGAAACCCGAUUCUGUAGUCCGGAUCGCAGUCUGCAACUCGACUGCGUGAAGUCGGAAUCGCUAGUAAUCGCGGAUCAGCAUGUCGCGGUGAAUACGUUCCUGGGCUGUCUUGUACACACCGCCCGUCACACCAUGGGAGUGGGUUUUACCAGAAGUAGUUAGCCUAACCGUAAGGAGGGCGAUUACCACGGUAGGAUUCAUGACUGGGGUGAAGUCGUAACAAGGUAA